AAUAUGACUCUCGGCAACGGAUAUCUCGGCUCUCGCAUCGAUGAAGAACGUAGCGAAAUGCGAUACGUGGUGUGAAUUGCAGAAUCCCGUGAACCAUCGAGUUUUUGAACGCAAGUUGCGCCCAAGGGACCCUCCCGAGGGCACGCCUGCCUCAUGGGCGUUAGAA
rnacentral:rRNA from 1 species